ensembl:lncRNA
GGGGGGGCAGAGCUCAUUGGGUGGGAUCUGAAAGGGGGGGGGGGGGGGGGGCACUCCACAGCCUCUGCGGGACAGUGGCCAGAACGCUAAGACUGUGUGGCGGAGCGAGAGAGACUUCUAGAGGUUCUGUUGAAAGAACACACUUGUUCAUGGUGAACAGAACACAGCAGACUGGACUGAGCUCGGCCUGACCUUGGCAAGAUCUGUCCUAGUCAGCUUAACAUGGGGAGUACUGGACUGUAUCCUUCAGUGUAUGCUUAUAUGAUUAAGACAGAGUGCUUUAGAAAUGUAUUGAAGAUAUAAAAGAUGUUUUUAAUUUUGUUGGUAUUUUAUUCCAUGUUCAUUGUAGAGGAUUUUUGUCAUUUGUCAUCGUUGUUUUUUUUUUCACCACUAAUCCAGGCUGUGUGAUUGUAUACCAUGAAAAUGCCAAAAUGUUAAGAAAUUAUUUAACCAAAUAGUUUUGUAUGUCAUCACCAUGGCUAAAACAGGGUUGAAAGGGAAAAUGCAGUCCACUGAGAUAUUUAAAGGUGUGUUGAUGCUGACUGGACCAGUUCAGUCCACUGAGAUACCGUACCAGUCAAAACUUUGGACACACCUUUAAAGUGUUUUCUUUACUUUUAUUAUUUUCUACAUUGUAGAUUAAUACUGAAAACAUUUAAACUAUGAAAGAACACAUAUGGAAUGAUGUACUAAACAAAAAAAGUGUUACCUACCAUGUAGAAAAUAAUAAAAGUAAAGAAAAAAACUUCUCCAAAAAUGAGAAGGUGUGUCCAAACUUUGGACUGGUACUGAGAUGUUUAAAGGUGUGUUGAUGCUGACUGGACCAACUUGUUGAGACACAAAAGAACAACUAAAGCCUGAACACAUUUUGCCCAGAUAUUGUUAACUAGUACAUAGCUACACUGUUGCCUUUGUCACUUCUGGUGGUGGUGGGUUAGGGAGCAUCCAGUUGGGUUUCUGCUUCACUGUAAUGGGCACUGUGUCUUUUAAGGCUGAGAGUUGGUGUGACGACACACACACACACACACACACACACGGAUUCCACAGAGACCAGAUCAAACACAGCAUAUGCUUCGUUCUAGUGUUCCGUAACCAUGAAGAAACUCAAUUAGUUUUUUUUACGGCGUAUGGACCCCAAUGUUACGCUUCAAUUAAACAUAACAUGAUCAUCCUGUAACAGAACAUAUGGUUUUAGAUGGUUUUGUUUCAUGUUAAAUGUAUGUACAGCUGUCUUGCUGUUCCAAUGUUGUUUUUUUCAUUAAAGAUUAUGUUUCAGAUAUCUGUAGCAUUCUUUGUCUUUUUUUCCCUACACCAGAUAGUAUUCCUGUUUUCCCACAGGACACCUAGCAUAGCAAGGCGCUAACAACAGAGAGGGAAGGAACACCAGAUAGUAUUCCUGUUUUCCCACAGGUCGCCUAGUAAGGCGCUAACAACAGAAAGGGAAGGAAGUUUAUAUUUCCAGACCCAGCCUGAGACCUCAGGAUUGGAUACAGUAAGCCACGAAUCCUGGACCAUGAACCAUCAAAGCGACCAGGGCAGCAGAGCAGGCUAAUAGCUAAUAGCUAAUAACACAACAGAAGGAGUCUGAGGGCUUCAUAGGCCUCCAGAAGAGAACACGAUUGUGCUUUAGAUGCAGGC